UACGUAGGUGGCAAGUGUUGUCCGGAAUUAUUGGGCGUAAAGCGCACGCAGGCGGUUCGCCAAGUUUGGAGUGACAGUUGUCGGCUCAACCGACAAAGGACUUCAAAAACUGGUGAACUUGAGGACGAGAGAGGAACAUGGAACUCCAGGUGUAGUAGUGAAAUGCGUAGAUAUCUGGAAGAACACCAAUGGCGAAGGCAAUGUUCUGGCUCGUUUCUGACGCUCAGGUGCGAAAGCCAGGGGAGCGAACGGG
rnacentral:rRNA from 1 species